rnacentral:rRNA from 1 species
AUACGGAUGGUGCGAGCGUUGUUCGGAAUUACUGGGCGUAAAGGGCGCGUAGGCGGCGAUGUAAGUCAAAUGUGAAAGUCCUCGGCUUAACCGGGGAGGUGCAUCUGAAACUGCAUUGCUUGAGUAUGGGAGAGGAAAGUGGAAUUCCCGGUGUAGAGGUGAAAUGCGUAGAGAUCGGGAGGAAUACCGGUGGCGAAGGCGACUUUCUGGACCAAUACUGACGCUGAGGCGCGAAAGCGUGGGGAGCAAACAGGAUUAGAAACCCUAGUAGUCC